GUAUUUGAGGUCCUGCCUGCCCAGUGAAAACUUUAAACGGCCGCGGUAUUCUAACCGUGCAAAGGUAGCGUAAUCACUUGUCUUCUAAAUAAAGACUAGUAUGAACGGCUAAAUGAGGACAAACCUGUCUCCUACAACCAAUCAGUGAAACUGAUCUUCCAGUCCAAAAGCUGGAAUAUAAACAUAAGACGAGAAGACCCUGUGGAGCUUAAAACCAACUACUACUAACCCAACAGCUAGUACAAGGUUUUAAGUUGGGGCGACUUCGGAAAAAAACAAAACUUCCGAGCACAGAACCACUACUUCUUACAAAGGCAGACAUGCCAAAGCAUAAAACAGACCCAGUCACACUGACCAACGAACCAAGUUACCCCAGGGAUAACAGCGCCAUCUUCUUCAAGAGUCCAUAUCGACAAGAAGGUUUACGACCUCGAUGUUGGAUCAGGGCACCCAAAUGGUG
rnacentral:rRNA from 1 species